UGCUUGGGAAUUUGCCUUUAGGUGGGGACGAACAGUUGGAACGACUGCUAAUACCGCAUAAUAGCUACGGCUCAAAGGGGGCGCUUGCGCUUUCGCCUUUAGAGAAGCCCAAGUGGGAUUAGAUAGUUGGUGGGGUAAUGGCUCACCAAGUCAGCGAUCCCUAGCUGGUCUGAGAGGAUGAUCCGCCACACUGGGUACUGAGACACGGGACCAGACUCCUACGGGAGGCAGCAGUGAGGAAUAUUGCACAAUGGGGGAAACCCUGAUGCAGCAACGCCGCGUGGAGGAUGACGCAUUUCG
rnacentral:rRNA from 1 species